AUGAUUGCCGAGGUUGCUUCGAGCCUUGAGAAUUUUUCAAGCCUUGAGGAUCUUGCUUCUGCAGCUCUUGCUUCACCUAAUGUGUCCACAAAGGAGGAAGCUGUGAACACCAUCAACGAUGUUUUAUCUGAGUUGGGUUUAUCAGAAACCCCUGCUGCUGCUGAGGAGGUGGCUCCGUCAGUCAAAGGUUGUGAUUCUGUUCCGGAUCCUUUGUGCUCUCUUCAAAUGUUAGAGACGCAGUCGCAGUCUGUUGAUGGCACUGAACUUGUCACGCAACCCGAGGAUGUGCCUCUUCAGCUUCUCCUGGAGGACCAACGUAAGAGGAAGAAGCAAGAAGAUUUUGACAAGAAGAGGGCGGCCCGCCUUGAGAAAGGUUCUGAUGUUCCUGGAUCUGUUCAUGCGGCUGAGCUCACUGUUGAGGAAGACGUGUCGUGUAGUAGUGAUGGCAAGGUUGUCCCUGUUAAGAUGAAAAUCAAGAAGACUGCUGCGAGGAAGCUAGUAGUUGGUGAAGUUACUCCUCGGAAGAGCCCACAUGUUUCAAGGCCUGCAGAAGUUGUUGAACAUGAAGGGUUAGGCCUUGGUGGUAUGCCACACCGUAGUCCUUGUGUGCUUGCCACUGCCGCGCCUACACCUUCUCCACUUGGUGCUGGUGCAUCUGGUAAGGGUAAGAAAUGCGGCGUGAAGCGCAAGGUUCCGCCUGCAAAGGUCAACAAGGGUGUGAAGAAGCGUUCUCGUGUUAAUCCAGAGGACAAGGAUGAUGCUGAUUUCAAUGCUGAUGAUGAGGACGACGUCGAUGAUGAUGCUGCUGCUAAUCAGUAUCAGCUUGUGCUGCGGCCUGAGAGGAGGAAGAGAGGAGGCAAAGCGCCCGAAGAAGGUGGCCAAGGAGGAGGUGAGGCGAAACAUUUUAACAAGACAGUUCGAUGCUCACUGAAAGAGGUCAAGACGUGUGCGGAAAUGCUACAACUUAGGCACAAGACAAGGGUUAUCAAUGCUGGUUUUGGUUGUGUGUUUGACUUGAAGGUUGAUUCCAACAUUUCUCGUCCUUUGAUGGGCAACAUCUACACAAGGAUUGACCCUUCAACCAUGAUUUUGGACAUGGGUGAGGCGAACAAGGGCAAGCUUGGGUAUGCUAGGAGUGACGACAUCAAGACAAAGGAUUUGCGGAAUAUCCUCGCUGAACUUGUGAAGGAUGAGACGAAGGAUGAUCUUGGUCUGCAGUGGAAGACACAGGCUGAGGUUGUGUUCUUUAGGGUUAUUGAACGUCCUAUUCUAACUAUGCCUCGUUCUGCCGGCCUAGGGAGUGGAACUUCCCCAAGAUUUGAAUUCUCCCGGGAUGUUAAUACCGGUGUCCCCUGUAGAUCCAGGAGGAUUGAUAGUCUUCUUGAAACUGUUUGUGGGGAGUUGGCUCGUGUUCCUUCAACUACUGAGCGUCUUAGUCGCAUUGAUGGGAUUCUUCCUCCCGGACACGGAUUUGAUGCCGAGUCUUUGAAGGGGGUCUUAUCUAUUGAAGCUAAAUUUCUUGAAGAGCUUCGUCAGAGCACUUCCCACCUCCGGACUAGCGUUGGGUUGUUCAAGGAAAUGCAGGAUGCUCGUUGCAAGCCUUUUGAAGAUGAGGCAAGUGGUGUUGUGAGACAGAUUCAGAGGCAGGAUUAUGUUCGUUCGGGUCGUGAAGGAGGCCACGUGGAGCGUACCAAAGAGGCUGUUGAUGAUGAUGCUAGGGUUGAGGAGGAUGUUUUACCUGCACAUGGAGCUGCUCCUGUGCAUGAGGCUGCCCCUGUGCAUGAACCUGCUCCCGCUAGUGGCGUAAUAGUUGAUGAGGUUCAUGGCAGUGAAAAUAAGCAGCAGAACGAUGAUGUUAGUGUUGCUCUAGAGAAGGUUGCAGACAUGUCCGUCUCAGGCACCGGCUGCUCCGAUGGGGUGGUCCUGACUGAACCUUUUUCGUCCAUUGGCGUUGAGGUUUCUGAUGCUGAGCAGGGCAAGACAAAUGGAGACAUCAUUUUGGAGAAAGAUCAUGUUGAGUCUACUGUACAAACUGGUGGUAGUGCUGCUGCAAGCCCGGAGAAGUCUCCUGCAGCAGAGCCAUCAGUUGAUGUUGAUGUUGUACAUGCACAACCAAAUGUUUUUCUUGUUUCAGAUUCUCCAGUUGCUCCAACUGCUGCUGGUGUCCUUCCCGACGACGCUGCAACGUCUACUGGAGACGAUGAUGAAGAAACCGAAAAUAGCGACCUUGCUGUCGUCCGAAAGAAGGUUGAUGACUUUUAUUACAGUGUAACUAGGCUUAGGAAUGAUCGUUUCAAGAGAGAAAUGAUUAUGUUUCGAAACAAGGUGUGUGAAGCUUCUGUUCAAGAAGUCGCAAUAUCUUUUGGUCCUCGCGGAAUGCUUACAUCUAAUGUGGCUGAGUGUGCACACUACUGUCUACGUGCGAAGUACCAGGGAUCGGAUAAACUCAUCCUGCCGUAUUGGGUUUGUGACAAGAUUUUCCGAGGUCAAUUUGAUUCCCGUGUGAGGAAGUACUUCAUGGCGAGUGGUCCAGAUAGCAUGGGUGCACAUGAUUUGGUUGUUUUCCCUACUUUUGACCCGCCUAAGAUUCCUGCUUCCAUGGGUGGUGUCGGUCAUUGGGUGUCGGUAUUCCUUGACCUGAAGAAUUCAAGGGUUCUUGCAAAUUAUUCCCAUGAGAAUAUCGGGGAUAUCAAGAAGACGUGGUUGUACUCAAUCGCUUCUUCUAACUUGUUUGAGACAGACUUCCAAGCUAUGUUUGGCUACUACAUAUUGGAUCCGUUGGAGUUGACCGAUUACCACUACUCAUUCCUCGGGUCACAGGAAUACCAGCCUAGGGAGGAACCGAUGAGUACAUCUCCGAUAGAAGAUGAUAGACCUCGGACCCUCAUUCCUUCCAAGUUGGGGAAGCAGGCUGGUGGUAUUCAUGGUACUCCAAAAACCCCUUGCUACAGGAAGGCUGAUGCAGUCAAAGCAGCCGAAGCAAAAGUGAUUUCGUCCGAUGAUGAUUUUGAGAAGAUUGCUUACCCGAAGAAUGUUAAAUGUGCUGCUGGUACUAUUGCUGGUAGAGGUGGGAAGAAUGCUAUGAUUACUAGGAGGAAACCGGCAGUUGAGUCAGGGAACAUAACUUCCUCCAAGAGAGCAUCAAGAUUGGCUUUGAAGUGGCGUUCUCUUGUCGCUCCCCUGAAAAAAUACAGUUACCCUCAUCUAUCCGAGGCCCGGAAGUUGAAACAGUAUGUGCUGAGUAAAGACGGUCUGGAGAAGUAUUCUGAGACAAGCUACUGCAUGUUUACCAUCCCUGGGAAUGUGAUUGACCUCACAGGACGUGUCCUUUAUACGCUUUUCGGUGAAGGGCAGCAGAUGGAAGGAAACAUAAUGGAUUAUCUCAUAAAUUUGUGGAAGGAUAAGCCGGAGACCUCUGAGAUUUUCACUAGUGCUGACAGGGUUGUACUUAGUCCUUACUUCAUGCAGUACUGCCUGGAGUAUGAUUUCUACGCCGCAAUAGUUCCAAAGUUUGAUGCAGAAAAAUCUACUGGUUUCCUCCCAAUGUUUGUUCGCAAGGAAGAAGACCUUCUUAACGCAAAGCUGGUUUUCUUGAUUCUAUUCAAGCCAAUUGGCACAAUGGCGCACUACAGUGUGUACGUGGUCAAUAGAUAUCGUGGGAGCAUUGACAUCCUUGAUUCACUUUCUUACGCUAAUAUGGAAAUGUCGCGAACGAGUUUCCAUGGGGACUGCCAAAGUAUCAUGAAGAGAUUUGUUGGGUUGCUCGAGGAGGUGUACGGCAAGGCUCCCUACAAGGCGAGCAAGCAGCCUAACUGGGUGACUAUUGCAAAGAGGCCGACUUUCAUCGAUGUUCCGAAGCAGAAGAGUAAUGAUUGUGGUUUCUUUGCCGUGAAGUUCUGCUCUUCGUAUGAUGGCGAUGAGGUUUUUGAAGAUUUUGGUGAUGUGGAAGCUGCUGCAGAUGACUGGAAAGCUGAGUUCAUGCACACUCUGAUUUUUAGCGAGAAGAAUGAAGUCGUGCGUUCAGAGCUCCCUAAAGAGGUCCAGUCCUUUGGCCCGUGA
rnacentral:rRNA from 1 species